GUCAAGAUGGCCGAGUGGUCUAAGGCGCUACGUUCAGGUCGUAGUGUAUAGGUGUGGGUUCGAAUCACACUGCUGACA